rnacentral:snoRNA from 1 species
ACGCAACUCUGACAGACCUGGAACAGUUCAUGCCUGCUGCUAAGGUUUCCACCACAGAUGCAAGAAAAAGAAGGUCCUCGCCUUUUCUGUCUGCUUGUGGCAGCCAAGACUGAAUGGGGGAAUACAGGA